rnacentral:SRP_RNA from 1 species
GCCAGGCGUAGUGGCACAUGCCUGUAAUCCCAGCUACUUGGGAGGCUGAGGUAGGAGAAUCACUUGAACCCAGGAGGCGGAGGGUGCAGUGAGCCAAGAUGGCACCACUACACUCCAGCCUGGGUGAUAGAGUGAUAUUCUGUCUCAA